UGACUGAACAUGUCUACUAGUUAAGUAAGUGUCGAUGUCGGCGACAAUGUUUGCUCCAUGACUAUGACAGGGUCAAUAACUGGCCAUAUCGAUGAUAAAAACGGAGCUGGAUGAUUUCGAUGACAAUGUCGGCGAUAAAGCUUGACUGACCACUUUGAUGACGAUAUAUAGAUGACGUUUAUAGUAAGAUUAAUUGAUGAUGGUAAUGAUUGACUGGUUCCAUGUGUAUAAUCAAUGAUUAAAUUGUUGACGAGGACUGAGACUAAAAUGAUCGUUGCUACUGCCAAUAAUUAUAACAUUUGUUUUUAUUUUUUUUAUGUUACAACGCUGGUAACCUGGCUGAAUGGAUGAAGUUGAUAAUGAGCGAGGGCUUCGCAGCAAGAGCUGACUGAAGUAAAGGAGGUUAAACUGUUAAGACGGUGCUGCCAGAAGUGGGCAGGGCCCAAGCUGCCGAUGGACAGGGCCACAGAGCGAGGAACCGACAUACAUACGUGCCGUGUUCAAGAUUACUGCCUUCUGCAUCUGAUCCUUGAUCCAGCGACCAGCGAGAGUAUCUACAGGUGUUGUUUUGGACUCUUAGCUGAUAAGAUUGCUAUUAUAUUAAUAUUAUGAAUCUAGAAUAUAACCGUUGAGUUUUGGCAGACUGUCUAGUGCAGGCCGUAAUGGCAGACUGUCUAGAGCAGGCCAUGACUGUUUAUUAUGUUAGUUUAUGCUUUGGCAAAGUUAGGUUCUUGUAAUAUGGGCCUUGUUGUCUGAUCCAAAUAAAUAUAUAUACAUAUUAGUUUAUACUUUGACAAACUGUCCAGCGCAGGCCUUGAAGGCAGACUGUCUGGGGCAGGUCGAUUGUUUAUGAUGAUUUAUACUUAGGCAGACUGUCUAGAACAGGCUUUGAUAGUAGCCUGUCUUCUAGAGCAGGCCAUAACAAAUUAAUUAAAAUAAUUAAUUAGGUAUGAAUGUGCAGACUGUCUAGAGCAAGCUUUGAUAACAGCCUGUCUUCUAGAGCAGGCCAAAACAAAUUAAUUCAAAUAAUUAAUUAGGUAUGAAUGUGCAGACUGUCUAGAGCAAGCUUUGAUAACAGCCUGUCUUCUAGAGCAGGCCAUAACAAAUUAAUUCAAAUAAUUAAUUAGGUAUGAAUGUGCAGACUGUCUAGAGCAAGCUUUGAUAACAGCCUGUCUUCUAGAGCAGGCCAUAACAAAUUAAUUAAAAUAAUUAAUUAGGUAUGAAUGUGCAGACUGUCUAGAACAGGCUUUGAUAGCAGACUGUCUUCUAGAGCAGGCCGUGAUGGCAGACUGUCUAGACAACUCAAGUCUAGAGCAGGCCAUAACAAUUUAUACUUUGGAAUGAUAUCUAGAGCAGGCCUUAAGGGCAGACUGUGAAUGUUUAUGAUGAAUUAUACUUUGUCAAACUAUAGAGUAAGCCUAAAUGGCAGACUGUGAUUGUUUAUGAUAAAUUAUACUUUGCCAAACUAUUUAGAGCAGGCCUAAAUGGCAGACUGAUUGUUUUGAUGAAUUAUGUUUUGCAAAUCAUUUAAAGCAGGUCUUAAUACUGUGAUUGUUUAUGAUGAAUUAUGUUUUGCCAAACUAUUUAGAGCAGGCCUAAAUGGUCUUAAUACUGUGAUUGUUUAUGAUGAAUUAUGUUUUGCCAAACUAUUUAGAGCAGGCCUAAAUGGCAGACUGAUUGUUUUGAUGAAUUAUGUUUUGCAAAUCAUUUAAAGCAGGUCUUAAUACUGUGAUUGUUUAUGAUGAAUUAUGUUUUGCCAAACUAUUUAGAGCAGGCCUAAAUGGCAGACUGAUUGUUUUGAUGAAUUAUGUUUUGCAAAUCAUUUAAAGCAGGUCUUAAUACUGUGAUUGUUUAUGAUGAAUUAUGUUUUGCCAAACUAUUUAGAGCAGGCCUAAAUGGUCUUAAUACUGUGAUUGUUUAUGAUGAAUUAUGUUUUGCUAAACUAUUUAGAGCAGGCCUUAUAAGGGUAGACUGUCAUUGUUUAUGACGUUUUAUACUUUGCCAUACUGUUUAGAGCAGGCCUUGAGGGCAGAUUGUGAAUGUUAAUGUUGGCUUAUACUUUGGCAGAUGUCUAGACCAGACCAAGACUGUAAGUUAGUUCAUAUGUAUUGAAAGUUUAUUGAAAGAAGGCUAUUAAUGCUACCAGGUGCUGGUUGUAUUAAAUUACUGUUUAGUGUUUAUAUGAUCUCAGGUUAUAGCAUGUGAAGAUUGUGAAGUGUGAAGACUGAUUUCUCAAUAAGGUUAAUAUAUGCAACUAGUCAUUGGUUGUGUGAUUGACUAAUAAAAGUCUAUAGUCAGUCAAGUUUACAAAAACUGUUCUUAUGAAUGUUUGUUUGAUAUCGAUAAAGUUGUUAUGAUAUAUUGCUGUUGUUAUUAAUGUACAAUUGUUUUUAGUGAGAGGACUCACUAUAAAUAAAAGGACGGCCGAGUUGUAAGCAUCACAAUAGUUGAUAUCCUGUAUGUUACUUUAUACUGAUAAUAAUCACAUGUAGUAUGCACCUGACUUUAUACUUUUUGGUUAUUGUAUCUAUGGUCAUGUUUGUUGAGGGAGAACUGUCAGAUUUUGGCGGCGCUUCAUUGCCAGAGGUUAUGUUGGAUUUGUUCCUUUGUAAUCUUAUAAUUAAUCCUGUAUGUCGCUGUAAUAAAAGAAAUAUUACUGGAA